rnacentral:snoRNA from 1 species
CCAGUGUGGAUAUCCUGGGAGGUCACUCUCCCCAGGCGCUGUCCACGUGGCAUGGGGGAGCACAGGACUCUGUUCAUAAUAUACAGGAGAGUCACAAAGGCAAAGAAAAUGAGGAACAGAAUAAUCAAGAAUGACAUUAAGCAGCU